rnacentral:rRNA from 1 species
UACGGAGAGGGCUAGUGUUAUUCGCAUUGACUGGGUGUAAAGGGUGCGUAGGUGGUUUAUUAAGUUUCAAAGUAAAAGUUAAGCAUAGGGCUUAAACACUUUUAAUACUAACUGACUAGAGUUUAUUAGAAGAUGGCUGAACAUUAAGUGUAAAGGUGAAAUUUUUCGAUAUUUAAAGGGCAUGCACUAGGCGAAGGCUGCUAUCUAUUUUAAUACUGACACUGAGGCACAAAAAGCAUAGGGAUCAAACAGG